ACGCAAACCAAUUAUAUCUAUAUAUAUAUACAUGAUAUAAUCUUAGGUUGAAUCCCAUUACUUGGCUCGCUUCAAAAUCUCAGCCCUAACCCUCGCUGUUGCGUUCACGCGCCGUGGAGCCAUGUCCCAAUACCAGUUUAAAGGUAGCUUAAGGGGUAGGGGGAGGGCUAACAUCCCCUCAAAAUUGAGAUUUUCGAUGGGCACACUCAAAGCGCUUCAGUUCUGACUUGCUCCCACAAUACCUUGCGAGAAAACGGAAAAUCAAGAAAUAUCCUAGACAAGAUGGAGGGCGAAAAGAUGCGACAGGAUUGGAAAAACACAAAUGUAAGUGUUUUCUCUGUGAUCAACUAGUAAUUAUUUUAUUAAUUAUACUCUGCAGCCCGGCCGCGGGCUUCGAAGCCCGGCCGCGGACUCUUGGAAGAUCGCGAAAGUCCGCGGCCGACUUUCGCGGAAGAUCGCGAACGCGGGCCGCCCGACCCCGGUUCUGGGCCGGGCUGCAGACCGGGCUGCAGGCGCGUCGUUAGCAAUUGAAAACAUCCGGGGCUUUAGCCCGGGGGGGAGCACCGUCCUGACUCCUGCGUGCUACGGUAUCUUAAUUAAUUAAAUAAUUAAUUAAUUAAUUAAUUAAUUAAUUAAUGUAUCGAUUAAUUAAUUAAGGGCGCCCCCAACACAUAGGUCGCCUAUGCCGAGCGCCAGGGCAAAAAUAAGACAUUAGAAUAGCCUAUAUAGCCUGCGUGCACCUACCCGAUGUCAAGAAGCCAUCGCUGCUCCGACGGACCUUUCUCCCCCAGCCAGGCACUUGCAGUUAACUACAGCCGCCCUUCCUGGGUAAUGCCACCACCAAUCCCUGGUCAUCCAUUGAAGCCAUCUCUCUCACUCUGCACAGUCACACUGUUGCCGCUUCAUUCUCAUUGUCUCAUAAUCUCAUUAUUAUGGCUGCUGUGGAUGCUUUAAAAAAUAAACAUUUUUCUCUUAGGUAAAAUCUAACCAGUGGGAUGUUAGAUUGAAAACCUCCAAAGCAAUGUAUUAAAAAUUGAAAGACAGUCCUAUGUGAAGUUUGUUUUUUGGGGAUUUUCAAAAUGAGGUACCAGAAUGGAUUGUCAACCCACUGUUUCUCAACCAUCUCCGAUUAUUACUAUGAGUAGUAGUAUUGCAUGCAUACAGUACUCACAUCAGCGCCAC
rnacentral:lncRNA from 1 species